AGAGUUUGAUCCUGGCUCAGAUUGAACGCUGGCGGCAGGCUUAACACAUGCAAGUCGAGCGGGGAUUAGGUGCUUGCACCUAAUCUUAGCGGCGGACGGGUGAGUAAUGCUUAGGAAUCUGCCAUUUAGUGGGGGACAACAUUCCGAAAGGGAUGCUAAUACCGCAUACGUCCUACGGGAGAAAGCAGGGGAUCUUCGGACCUUGCGCUAAAUGAUGAGCCUAAGUCGGAUUAGCUAGUUGGUGGGGUAAAGGCCUACCAAGGCGACGAUCUGUAGCGGGUCUGAGAGGAUGAUCCGCCACACUGGGACUGAGACACGGCCCAGACUCCUACGGGAGGCAGCAGUGGGGAAUAUUGGACAAUGGGCGGAAGCCUGAUCCAGCCAUGCCGCGUGUGUGAAGAAGGCCUUUUGGUUGUAAAGCACUUUAAGCGAGGAGGAGGCUACUUAGAUUAAUACUCUGAGAUAGUGGACGUUACUCGCAGAAUAAGCACCGGCUAACUCUGUGCCAGCAGCCGCGGUAAUACAGAGGGUGCGAGCGUUAAUCGGAUUUACUGGGCGUAAAGCGUGCGUAGGCGGCUGAUUAAGUCGGAUGUGAAAUCCCUGAGCUUAACUUAGGAAUUGCAUUCGAUACUGGUCAGCUAGAGUAUGGGAGAGGAUGGUAGAAUUCCAGGUGUAGCGGUGAAAUGCGUAGAGAUCUGGAGGAAUACCGAUGGCGAAGGCAGCCAUCUGGCCUAAUACUGACGCUGAGGUACGAAAGCAUGG
rnacentral:rRNA from 1 species